rnacentral:rRNA from 1 species
AACGAACGCUGGCGGCGUGCCUAAUACAUGCAAGUCGAACGAAGCUGUUUUAACUGGUGCUUGCACCGACUUAAACAACUGAGUGGCGUACGGGUGAGUAACACGUGGGUAACCUGCCCCAAAGCGGGGGAUAACAUUUGGAAACAGAUGCUAAUACCGCAUAACCACAGAAACCACAUGGUUUCUGUGUCAAAGAUGGUUUCGGCUAUCACUUUGGGAUGGACCCGCGGCGUAUUAGCUAGUUGGUAAGGUAAUGGCUUACCAAGGCAAUGAUACGUGGCCGAACUGAGAGGUUGAUCGGCCACAUUGGGACUGAGACACGGCCCAAACUCCUACGGGAGGCAGCAGUAGGGAAUCUUCCACAAUGGACGAAAGUCUGAUGGAGCAACGCCGCGUGAGUGAAGAAGGUUUUCGGAUCGUAAAACUCUGUUGUCAGAGAAGAACGUGUGCGAGAGUAACUGCUCGUGCAGUGACGGUAUCUGGCCAGAAAGCCACGGCUAACUACGUGCCAGCCGCCGCAGUAA